AAGAAGAAGAAGACGAAGAAGAAGAAGAAGAAGAAGAAGAAGAAGAAGAAGAAGAAGAAGAAGAAGAAGAAGAAGAAGAAGAAGAAGAAGAAGAAGAAGAAGAGGACCACACUGACAGAACGAUUACAUAGCAGGCGGAUAAUGUGCUAUGAGGCCAGAUCCUUAAAUACUGUGGUUGGAAUCUUAAAUUUCUUUUGUUGCUAUGACCCAAAGGGAAAUUUUGAAAGAAAAGAGUUGGCUGUCACUGGAAGACACACAGAGCUGCAUUUUCCUGAUGUGUUUCUUCUUCUUUGAGCUCUUCUGGAGUAAGGAACAUUCAGUGUCUGGUCCUGGGGAUGGAACUUGGCCAUUAGGCUUGGUGGCAAGCAAGACACUGACAAUCCUUUUCUUUUAUCAUUUGAAGUGAGGUAUGAAUUAAUUUUGAAAAAUCAGGUUGGCUAGAUGUUGUGGUUUGAAUGAGACUAGCCCCUAUAGGUUCAUAUACAUGAAUGCAUUGUUCACUGGUAGUGGAAUUGUUUAGGAAGGAUUAGGAGUUGUGGCUUUGUUGGAAGAUGUAUAUCACUGGGGGCAGGGGGUGGGGCUUUGAAGUUUCAAAAGCCUAUGCCAGGCCCAAUGUUGUUCUCUCUCUGGCAGCUACCAAUGGGUCAGAAUGUAAAGUUUUCAGCUACUGCUACUGUAACAUUCCUGUGUGCUCCCUGCCUUGAUGAUUCUGGACUAACCCUCUGAACCUGCAAGCAAAUCCCUAAUUAAAUGCUUUCUUUAUAAGGAUUGACUUGUUCAUGGUAUCUCUUUAGCAGUAGAACUGAAGCUAAGACCCCAGAUGAAGGGUAAAGUUUUACAAAGUAUAUUUGGAAGAGUUAAGAGACUAGAUGGCAGAAAAAAAGACUGGAAAAAGUACUUAUUGUUGUUAUUAUAUUAUGAUGAUGAUUUAACUGUCUUGUAUUUCAUAUAAAAUUCUCUAUUUCAGAAUUCUCUUUUCUAUGUAAUUAUAUUUUGUUUUUAACAUAUAUAUGUAAACAUAUUAGUGUAAAUAUAUUUAUCAUCUAAACGCUUUCUGCAUGGGGGCAUGUAAAUUUUGGUUUGAAUUAAGAUUUCUAGAACACUGAUAUUAGAAUAAAUUUGUAUAAUUUAGACUGGUAUGAAGGGGUGGCUUGAAAAUCUUAGAACGCCUGGCAAGAUUUAUUGUUCUCUAUUCUAUUUAACAUUGGUUUCUGGAAAAAAAGUGACACAGGAAUUUGUCAACAGAGAAAUUAUUCUUAGUCUUGGAAAGUCUUCUGUUAGGAAUUUGACUUGUUUUAUGCCUUAGCAGAUCAGUUGCAAUGAAGAUCUUAGAUCCACUUUUGCUUCAUUUUAUGAAAUCCUCAAACCCAGAACAUCUCUUAUGCA